GACGAACGCUGGCGGCGUGCCUAAUACAUGCAAGUCGAACGCACAGUUUAUACCGUAGCUUGCUACACCAUAGACUGUGAGUUGCGAACGGGUGAGUAACGCGUAGCUAACCUGCCUGGUAGCGGGGGAGAACUAUUGGACACGAUAGCUAAUACCGCAUAAUAUUAAUUAUUGCAUGAUAAUUAAUUGAAAGGUUCACUUGCAUCACUACCAGAUGGACCUGGGUUGUAUUAACUAGUAGGAGAGGUAACGGCUCACCUAGGCGGAGCUACAUAUCCGAACUGGAAGGGGGAGUGGCCACACUGGGACUUAGACACGGCCCAGACUUCUACGGGAGGCAGCAGGUGGGAAACUUUGGCAAUGGAGGAAAGGCUGAACGAGGAACGCCGCGGGAAGGAAGAAGGGUCUCGGAUCCGAAAGCUUCUGUGUAAAGGAAGAACGGGUGGUGGAGUGGAAAGUGCACACUGUGACGGAAUCUUACCAGAAAGGGACGGCUAACUACGUG
rnacentral:rRNA from 1 species